rnacentral:rRNA from 1 species
GAAGUCGGAAUUGCUAGUAAUGGCAGGUCAGCAUACUGCCGUGAAUACGUUCCCGGGCCUUGUACACACCGCCCGUCACACCAUGAGAGUUGGAGAUACCCGAAGCCUAUGAGCUAACUUUUAGAGGCAGUAGUCGAAGGUAGAAUCAAUGAUUGGGGUGAAGUCGUAACAAGGUAUC